CCUACGGGAGGCAGCAGUGAGGAAUAUUGGUCAAUGGGCGAGAGCCUGAACCAGCCAAGUCGCGUGAGGGAGUACUGCCCUAUGGGUUGUAAACCUCUUUUGUCGGGGAGCAAAAGCCGGACGUGUCCGGCUGUGAGAGUACCCGAAGAAAAAGCAUCGGCUAACUCCGUGCCAGCAGCCGCGGUAAUACGGAGGAUGCGAGCGUUAUCCGGAUUUAUUGGGUUUAAAGGGUGCGCAGGCGGAUUUUUAAGUCAGCGGUAAAAUCGUGGGGAUCAACCCCAUCCAGCCGUUGAAACUGGGGAUCUAGAGUGUGCGAGAGGUAUGCGGAAUGCGUGGUGUAGCGGUGAAAUGCAUAGAUAUCACGCAGAACCCCGAUUGCGAAGGCAGCAUACCGGUGCACAACUGACGCUCAGGCACGAAAGCGUGGGUAUCGAACAGGAUUAGAUACCCUGGUAGUC
rnacentral:rRNA from 1 species